ACACUAAAGAAGCUUAAUAUCACACAGCGCUAGACUUUUAAUCUAGAGAAGAGACUAAAUACUCCUUAGUG
rnacentral:tRNA from 1 species